AGCUCCAAUAGCAUAUAUUAAAGUUGUUGCGGUUAAAAAGCUCGUAGUCGGAUAUCUGUAUGGGAGGAGUGGACCACUCAUUGAGUGGGUUCUGCAUCCUUUUUGUGCAUCAUUCUGGGGACGUGUUCUUCACUUCAUUGUGAGGGCGCAGGACCCAGAGCAUUUACUUUGAGGAAGUCAGAGUGCUUCAAGCAGGUAGAUGCCGUGAAUACUUUAGCAUGGUAUGAUAGGACCGGACCUCUGUCCAGCUGUGGGUGUCUGGGCGAAGGUAAAGGUGAACAGGGAUUGUUGGGGGCAUUCGUAUUUAACUGUCAGAGGUGAAAUUCUUGGAUUUGUUGAAGACGGGCGACUGCGAAAGCAUCUGCCGAAGAUGUUC
rnacentral:rRNA from 1 species